CUUUCCUGUUAAUUUAUUUCCAAAUUUAAUCUCCAUUCAAAUAUGAUGUUUUAUGAAAUAUAAUGUCCUUUUGUCACAUUGUGCACUAAGAGUAUUACUUUUCUAUUUUGUGUGGGGAAGGCUGUAAUAUCUGUUCAGCUCUAUCAAGAACAAAUGUACAGAGCGUCCCACCUAUUGAGACACUGCCUUAUUUCAGUUAGCUUCAGUAUAGAAGAGGGAGAAUUGCUGUGUUCCUGUGACCCUGGGGAAAAAGGAAUUCCUAGAUUCACCUUCAGGACAAAGAUUGACCCGGUAGAAAAUAAAACUGAGGAAAGAAGAAGAUACGCACAACAGAGGGGAAGACAUUGGCUGAGCCUCACAAACAUUGCAGAUAUCCCUAUGUGACUCAGAAUCAACACAAGAUCCUGCCUUUAAACACUGAUGCCGAAAAUCAAGAACAUCCUUUAAACUGAAACCAUCAGAACAAACAUGUUUAAACAACACAAAUGUUAUUAUUAAUGUAAAGCAUUUCUAAAAUGCUUUUUUAAAUGUGAAAAAGCAACGAAAGUUUUAGUUCUGACACCACCAGACAAAUAGCUAGGAAACAGACACUUCUGUCUUCACAACAGUAAAAAUAAAACAAACUGAAAAUCAGUAAGUUUUGCGGGCCUAUCAGAAAACUAAGAUUGCAGGAAGAGCUGUCACACCCAAAUAUGAAGAAAUAGAAGACUUCAGAGAGACAAAACCAAGUUCUGCUUAUCAGAAGUAGAAGACACUGGAGACAUAUAAACUCAUAAGAACACUUAGAACACUUACAUGGCAAUGUUAACAAAUUGCUGUAAUCUGAGUAUGGACUAUCUUGAGAGUGAUAAUCCCUUAAGAGCUUCAGUAUUAGAGGGGCCUGCCACAUUCACGGCCUUUAUCUACAGUUAUCUCACCAGAUACUCACAGUGAAGAUGCCCUUGUAGCUCUGGCUGGGGCGGAGGAAGAGCAAUCCUUGUGAAUUACCUCCAGAGUAUGCUCUGUAAAACAGGUUUAUUUUUCCAGGAGAAAAGACACUAACAGCGUCUUCUAAUGUCCAUGAGGUGAUGAAUGAUGACCCUUAUUUCAUUUCUCUUUUAUUCUUGGUUAGCCUGGUUAGAUGUUUAUAAAAUUUCUUAAAUUUUUC
rnacentral:lncRNA from 1 species